UAGCGUACAGAGGCCGCAGAGGUUAGAGACGCAGCAAUGCAUGGCUAUUCAGCCACGGACGUCAAAUGCCUGCCAGACAUUUAGAAUCCCCAAACUCACUGAGGACACGUUUUCCUCCUGAGAACGGCAGAAUGGUAACAAAGAACACAUGAAAAGAAAAUGCUUUCAAGGACCAAAGGAAUUCAUCUACAAAUAUGGAAUUUCCAGCAUGGAAGUCAGUGACAAAGCCCUGGCAUGCCCCCAUCGCAGACGUCCUGAGAACACCGUCCAGUGGGAUGAGGCCAGCCCUGCCCUGAGAAGCUGAGAUUCCCACCCCACCGGGAGGGAGCUGAGCACCCUCACAGCAACUCUGAGCCCCUGACUCCAAAGGAGACUCUUCUGUGGUAUCAGACGUAGAGGGCGGGGUCCCUUAAAGUAAAAUUCCACAACAGGGCAGUAGAAAGAUGCAAUGAAAUAUACACGAGUUAUUAAAUAUUGUCAUCAAGAUGAGUAAUAAAUCAGACAUU
rnacentral:antisense_RNA from 1 species